rnacentral:tRNA from 1 species
UCUCCGGUGGUGUAAUGGUUAGCAUUUAAGCUUGUCACGCUUGCGAUUCGGGUUCAAUUCCCGGCCAGAGAG